rnacentral:SRP_RNA from 2 species
GCCAGGUGUGGUGGUGCAUGCCUGUAAUCCCAGUUUCUUGGGAGGCUGAGGCAGGAGAAUCGCUUGAACCCGGGAGGCGGAGGUUGCAGUGAACUGAGAUUGUGCCAUUGUACUCCAGCUGGGCAACAAGAGUGAAACUGUCUCAAAAAAAAAAAAAAAAAAAGAAAAAGAAAAAGAAAAGAAUUACAAUUUUCUUUCUUUCUUUUUUUUUUGAUACGGAGUCUCACUCUGUCACCCAGGCUGGAGUGCAAUGGCACAAUCUCAGCUCACUGCAACCUCCGCCUCCCGGGUUCAAGCAAUUCUCUGCCUCAG